rnacentral:rRNA from 1 species
UGGGAAUCUGCCCUUGGGUAUGGAAUAACAGUUAGAAAUGACUGCUAAUACCGUAUAAUGACUUCGGUCCAAAGAUUUAUCGCCCAGGGAUGAGCCCGCGUAGGAUUAGCUAGUUGGUGAGGUAAAGGCUCACCAAGGCGACGAUCCUUAGCUGGUCUGAGAGGAUGAUCAGCCACACUGGGACUGAGACACGGCCCAGACUCCUACAGGAGGCAG